CAUCCCAUACGUGAAAACCGAGCCCGAAUUAUGAUAUAUUAUUAAAAAUAAUCAAAAACAAGAAAAUAUAAGUCUAGGCGGGCCGCGUAAGCUACCCGUUAAGUUCACGCGGGCCGCGUGGGAGCUAAAAGGUGGCGCAGCCCGGUGGGGCCACGUGGCCCAACACCCGGCAAGUCUAUGAGCUGACCCAGCCAAGCUACGCAUUGACCUGGGGUCAACGCGGGCCGCGUAGGCCCUGCCCUAAUGUUACGCGGGCCGCGAGGAAGACGGAUUUCAGCACUAUAUAAAGAGGCAUCGGGCCUUCAGUCUGCUUCGUUCAAAAUCGUUUCUUUCUCUCUCAAAAUUAAAUAGUGGGCAUUAUACUCGGGUCUAAUACCCCCCUAAUUAGCGAAGCUCUGCCUCGUUACUAUAACCAGGGAAUCACAAAGGAAAGCCCUAUAAUAACAAUGUAACUUAGUGUGAAGCCAAUAAAAGCCAGCUGGAGAGCACUGAAGGCUUGGAAAAGUGGCAAUAAAGUUACCUAAAAUAAAAUAGAUGUUUUUAUAAACAAAAUAGGAUUUAUUCCUAUGAAAAUGUGUGUACUACAAACUUGGGUUUUUACCCAUGUGUUUAAUAUUAUGAAAAUAUGGUGGUUUUACUCUGAUAAAAAUAUUUCCUAACUACGGUCCUGAUGAAAAAUUCCGCUGCCAAAUUAGACAAUACACGAUACCACCGAAACUGGCUCACGGCCGCCCGUUCCUAAGGGGUCGGGGGUUGUGACAGAAGGUGGUAUCAGAGCUAUGCCACUGGCUCAAGCCAAAGAAGUAGUAUGA
rnacentral:lncRNA from 1 species